CAGUAGCCACGGGAAUACGGAGGGUGCGAGCGUUAAUCGGAAUUACCGGGCGUAAGGCGUACGCAGGCGGUCUGUUAAGUCAGAUGUGAAAUCCCCGGGCUUAACCCGGGAACUGCAUUUGAAACUGGCAGGCUAGAGUCUCGUAGAGGGGGGUAGAAUUCCAGGUGUAGCGGUGAAAUGCGUAGAGAUCUGGAGGAAUACCGGUGGCGAAGGCGGCCCCCUGGACGAAGACUGACGCUCAGGUACGAAAGCGUGGGGAGCAAACAGGAUUAGAUACCCCAGUAGUCCCUGUCUCUUAUAC
rnacentral:rRNA from 1 species